rnacentral:misc_RNA from 1 species
GACUGAUAAGAAUUGCCAGUUCCUACUGUAUGAUCUUUUUGCUGGACAAGUAGUUCCUUUUCCCAGCCUGGAGGUAUAUCAUCAAGUGAAUUAGAAUUGCCAGUUCCUACUGUGGGAUGUUUGUUCCUGGUAAGCAUUUCCUUUUCCCAUCCGGGUGGGAAUUCAUCUGCUGAAGCUAAUUCUCUGAUGAGAGAAGCCUGAUCAGAAUUGCCA